rnacentral:rRNA from 1 species
AACGAACGCUGGCGGCAGGCUUAACACAUGCAAGUCGAGCGCCCCGCAAGGGGAGCGGCAGACGGGUGAGUAACGCGUGGGAAUCUACCGAGCCCUACGGAAUAGCUCCGGGAAACUGGAGCUAAUACCGUAUACGCCCUUCGGGGGAAAGAUUUAUCGGGGAUGGAUGAGCCCGCGUUGGAUUAGCUAGUUGGUGGGGUAAUGGCCUACCAAGGCGACGAUCCAUAGCUGGUCUGAGAGGAUGACCAGCCACACUGGGACUGAGACACGGCCCAGACUCCUACGGGAGGCAGCAGUGGGGAAUAUUGGACAAUGGGCGAAAGCCUGAUCCAGCCAUGCCGCGUGAGUGAUGAAGGCCCUAGGGUUGUAAAGCUCUUUCACCGGUGAAGAUAAUGACGGUAACCGGAGAAGAAGCCCCGGCUAACUUCGUGCCAGCCGCCGCAGUAAUAC